AAAUUGAAUAUUUUUAAUAAAAUAUACAUAUUCUUCCUGAACUACAGAUUUCGCUCAAGUGGUACCGUGUAGUAACAAUUCAAUAGAAGCAAAAUGGUGAACAAAAGUUGCAUCGUGGGAUGUCCAUUGGGAUGUCCUUUAUAUGUAUUCCCUCCGUUGGGAGAAAUGACCAGAAACCAAUUUUCCAAUUAACGGACCAGAACGGGUAUCGUUAUAACCAAUUUUUUUACUUUAUUGUUUUUUAACACAUCAUUUUCGAUUUCGCUUUACUAAUGUAAAUACAUUUAACCAUCUCCCUUUGCCCGUGAUUUCCUAUCGAUUUCCACUUAACAUAAAAUUUCAAUUUCGCUUUACUAAUUUAUUUUUGACUAUGUUUUGGUUUUCAAUUUUAACUUUCAUUAAACUAACAACUUUAAUUGGACUAGCAAGUGUUUACUAAAUUUGGUUUUGGAAAAUCUUUGCUUAUAUUUAAUAUGAUGUAUUAAUAGGUUUCUAUGAUAAAUGCUAGAAGUUCCAAAUUUUCCGCCAGUAUGCCAGCAAAAACUUCCAACUUCUAGGAGUUAGUACACACACCCCAUAUUUCCUAUACUAAAACUGCUUUGUUGUAUUUUAU